rnacentral:lncRNA from 1 species
GAGCUGGGCCGGCCGCCGCCUGGCCGCCGCCGUGUGCCUGCUGUGCGCCCUCACGCCCGCGGUCGCGCUGGCCUGGCUGAUCCGCAAGAGGAGCCUCUAGGCGAGACGGGCGCUGGCCGGAGCGGGGAGCAGGCGGGACGCGCAACAGGCUGGAGAAAACCCUGUGCCCUUGGAGAAAAUUGUUUCCCCUCUUCCUACAGGGAAUCCAGAGCCUGAGCAGCAGCUGUGAAGAGUGGAGAUAAAGAAAGAAGUGGAAGAUGUUGGAAGAGCUUUGGGCAACGUGAAGAAGGAUUUGCACUGAAGGAGCUGUUCAAGGGCCCAGCCGCAAAACAGAGACACAUACAUGCUUAUAUAUAGAAGAAUGUAAACCCUCCUGUAUGCAUACGUUAAAACGUGCAUGCCUUGUUGAGAACGUAAGCAACAUUCCUUGUAGAUGAUGGUGGUAUGAGCAUUUGUGCUCCUGCAGUCUGAGUCAAGAGAUUAGUGAUGUCCCUGCUGUGAUGCUAGCGUUGUCUCCCCUGCACCUUGUCUAUGGUGACAUAAGUGUCCCUUUCGAUGCAGCAAGCAAGAGAAAGUAGAUACACAUCUGGAGGUAAAUAAUAUCUGCUGCAACGUGGGCAUGUUGUAACCGUGGCGGUGGGGGAAGAGGUGCUGAGCAGCUCGGACAGCAGACAGUUUGUGUGUGUAUAUAUUAAGCUCUAUAGCACCAGGUGAGAUAAGCUUUUCUUACGGUUUUUGUUUCUCUGGUGCUACAUUUACUAUUUGUCUGGGGCUUGAUUGCCUCUCUGUGGUGCUACAGUUUCCCCAAGAGGAUGUUCUGAAACAUGGGACAAGGAGAAAUCUAUUUUGGUUAUUGAUAUUUAUACACAAAAGAGCAAAAAAUACUACUUGUUGAGAAGGUGCUAUUUUUUUUUUCUUUCUUUCAGCCUCUGCGUAAACGAAGGCAAAACAAACCAUCCCGCUCAGAGCUGUACAGAACUGAUUUUCUUUGGGGCAGCUCUUUCUCUUGGCGCGGUUCUGAGCUUGGGAAGCAGCGUUCACGGAGGUGGUGAGGACACAGCAGCUCCUGUCACAGCUGUGUCCACAUCAAAGUCUGCUACUGCAGAACCUCCCGGAUGGGGGUGUAGGCAGUCCUCAACUCCUGUGAUCCAGGGAAAAGAGUUACAUCUGGGCUCAGCAGGAGACUCGUUGGCAGUGAUCCUUACGCACAUUUUUUAGAAACAUUUUUCCCAGCUUUGGAUAUUUGCAGCACAAAAUUGACCUUCACGUGGCAGGGGGGACUUCCAAAGGCAUACAGGGAUGUUAUAGGAGUUCAGUUUCCAAAGGAGGUUCCUUGUCUUUUAAAGACACUUCCUAACCUGCAACCAAUCAAGGAGCAAACUGCUCCAUCCCUGUCAGACUUUCGGUUUGUCGCUACUGCAGGAGAAAUGUUUCUAAGCAAUCUAAAGGCUAAAUUGUCUCUUUAUCAAAUAUUCACCGAUGUGUUUUGGGCACCUGCACACAUAUUCAUGGGGAAUAUUGAUCCGAGUCAGUUCCCAAACAGCAGAAGGGCUACGCUGAAAGCGCAAAUUGUUCCUAAUGAGUAACCUUGCCCUACUUUAUAUCAUGCGCAGUGGUGGGAGGGAUCAUGUAGCUAAGUGUAUUUUGUCUGUGGGUAGAGUGUGGAUGGCCUCAGAGCCGCAGGGAUUAGCCACCCAUCAAACACUGUUCUGCCACUUGUGGCCUGAUGCAUCCCACGUCCCUGCCCGGCUCAGUCUCCUACUGAUCUAAGUAAGAAUUCUUCUAGCAAAAGGAGGAGCCCCAGCUGAUUUCAGCAGUGCUGCAAGGAUUAGUGACUGCCGGAUCAGGUACAGCCUAAAAAACACAGUUUUCUGCAAAAAAGCCAGGGGAGCUGGCUUACACAUCUCAGUGCAAGACAGAGGGCUCUCCCACAUUCCCCUCACCCUUAACAGUUAUUACUAGCUCCUGAGAUCUGAAUGUUUAUAAUAAACUUCU